CAACCUUCAAGCUCAGCUUGGUGUUGGGUGUUUGUCCCGCCCCCCGCGCGUGGACUCGCCUCAAAUUGAUUGGCAGCCGCAACCCCCGCCGCGAGCGCAGCACAGUUACGCUUACGACGGAUCAGGGCCGGCGAUCCAGAAGCCUAUUUCAACG
rnacentral:misc_RNA from 1 species